rnacentral:rRNA from 12 species
CCCAGGUCAGGCGGGGCUACCCGCUGAAUUU